rnacentral:rRNA from 1 species
GACGAACGCUGGCGGCGUGCUUAACACAUGCAAGUCGAACGGGACUAUUAUGAAGGAGUUUUCGGACAACGGAAUAGUAGUUUAGUGGCGGACUGGUGAGUAACGCGUGAGGAACCUGCCUUUCAGAGGGGGACAACAGCUGGAAACGGCUGCUAAUACCGCAUGAAGCAUUGCUGGGACAUCCCGGGAAUGCCAAAGAUUUAUCGCUGAAAGAUGGCCUCGCGUCUGAUUAGCUAGUUGGUGAGGUAACGGCCCACCAAGGCGACGAUCAGUAGCCGGACUGAGAGGUUGACCGGCCACAUUGGGACUGAGAUACGGCCCAGACUCCUACGGGAGGCAGCAGUGGGGAAUAUUGGGCAAUGGGCGAAAGCCUGACCCAGCAACGCCGCGUGAAGGAAGAAGGCUUUCGGGUUGUAAACUUCUUUGACAGGGGAAGAGUAGAAGACGGUACCCUGAAAACAAGCCACGGCU